AUGGGCCCACUUGCCAUACCCUCUCUCUCAUCUCUCCUCUCCUUUCUCUCUUUUCUGUCUCCUCUCUCCUCUCCUUUUCCUUCCACCACGGCACCACCUACCACACACAGCCGGAGCGAGGCUCGAGCGGCCGGAGCGGAGCAUGGCGGGGGCGGGGCUCGCGCUCGCGCGGCCGGGCGGGAAGGGGCUCGUCUUCUUCGUCCUUGCAGUGGCUGUCUCCGCCCGCGCACUCCACGGCGCCCUCGCCGGGCGUACAGGCAGCAACUGGACGCGUGCCAGAUGGGGAGCCAUGGCUGCGCUGCAUCUAUCGCCCGCUCCCUCGCCGCCAACGAAGGCCGAGGCCGACGACCACGCCCAGCCCCCGCCGUCCUUCCCCGUCCGCCACCAGUACCCCAACCUUUGCCCGCGCUCCAGACCGUCUGGCUCUCCGCUCCCUCGUGCGCCGCGUGUAUGGCUGCGUGGACACGAGCGACUCGCGGCCCGUCGCGCCGUUCGGCCACGACGACCCCUCGGCGUUCGGGUGCUUUGCCAGUGAGCAAACGAGGCGAUGCUAGGGGCCGCGGAGCUGCUGCAGGGUGCAGGUUUGAACAAAGGAGCUGCUGCAGGAUGCAGCCUUGUUCGCAUGUGUGUAGGUCGAGCUGCUGCUCGUGGCCAUGGCGAACAUGGUGGCCGGAGCUGCUGCCCGCGAGGGACGGCGUCGACAAUGCAUGGAACGGAGCAGGGAGAGAGGGCUGCGAGGAGCAACUGCUCACCAGGGGUGUCAGGCAAGCACAACCACUACUCCCCUGCCGCCGGCGUGGCCGACGCGCUUUUAGAACGAGCUUGCCGCAGGCGACGUCGUCCUCACGGCCGGCUGCAACCACGCCAUCGAGAUCAUGA
rnacentral:rRNA from 1 species